UUCACUUAUGAGUGUGUAUUAGCUGUCUGGCAAGAGGAAGAAAUGUGUUAACCAAAUCUUUGUUGAAGUGGAGCACAUAACUCGAAGUGCUAUGCAAAUCCUCCUAUGUUCCUGCACAAGCACAGGGCUCCUCUGCAAUCGGCUUGCAGCCACUUGAUCAGGUUAAAAACCCUGAAAAUGAAAACAUGACUGUUCUUCAGUUUGGAGUGGCUGAACUGUGAAGUAAAUUAACUACUGUUCAACAUCUAGCACUGGGGAGGAAGACACGCUUUUAACAGGGAAGUGCCUGAGGAAAGAUACAGGUGCUUGAGGCUGGAAGGGAUCCUGAGAGGUCAUCACCCUGCCUUAAGGCAGAGUGAAUCUAAAGUCUCCUAGAGGAAAAUGAUGAAGACUUUAAGAAUUCCACUACUCUUCUGCAGGACCACCCUCCUCAAUCCCCUGUUCCUGCUCCUCCAAAACAAAUCCAUCUUAGUAAGAUGCAGUAGGUGUUUUAGCACAAGAGAGACUUGCAACUAAAAUAUAUCAAAAUAAUUUAGAGAGUAUAACCUUACAGAAUGAUUUUUAUGGUAUUUCUGAAUUCCCGGAAGUUCAGAAGAACAAGAACUACAAACCAUGAUUAUCCACAAGUUAUUGCUGUACAUGCAAACUCUUGAACCACAAUCACCAUUGUCACUCCUUUUAUGUGAAGAAAAUAAUGCAAAUGAUUUCCAAGGAGUGGAUCACAUCUACACUUGAAGCAUUGGAUGAAUAUCUUUAAAUUAUCUUUUAUUUUUAUUUCAAUACAUGUACAAUGCAAUAGUGAGCAGCAGUUUAUAAUACUUGACUAAAUGUCAGUAAGUGAAGAAGUUUUGGCUGACAUCACCCAACCAUUAUGAGUGUAUAUAAAUAUCCAGUAUGAAUAAGAUUCUUUUCCAGAGAAUCCAUAUAAACACAAUCUCUCUCUCUCUCUCUCAUACACACACACACGCACGCACGCACAUGCACACACAUAUGCACACACACACAUAAACCCUUGGGGAUAAUCUUUCCUUCAGGGAAAAAAAAAAUGGGUCUGUAAAUCAACUUUCUUUAGACACAAUGGCUAGUUAUUAGAGAUCUCAUCUUUUCAGCUAGGCAAGAUAAUUUCCUAAAAGGUUUCCCCAAAGUAGAUUUUGAAUUGGAAAACAGUUACUGUAAAUUAAUACAACAUCACUGGUUUGAGAGGAAAGAUUUAUGUGUUCUUCCUCCAAAGGCUAGAAACUUGAACAGUUCUUUGUUUAAUAUUGUCCUCUUCAUGUCGCCUUUUUUUAUAAAAGAAGCCUGAAGAGCUCUUUGCCAUGAAGGCCACAUUUUCUAUUAAACAUAACUAAUCAAACACACAUGCAUACUAUGUGUAAAUGACAUUCACUUCAGUGUUGCUACUUCACCUAGUAAAAAUGCUUCAAAACAAACACUUCUUAAAUGGUCAUUUUACCCUCUGCUUUUGGAAGUACCCAGGCUUCAGAAAGUUUUAUAAAACAGAUUUGCUAUUGAUAUAACAUGGCAAUUUGCAUUAUAAUCUAUAUGAACUCACAAUCCUAAAAACUGUUUAGAAGGCGCUUUGAUAAUGGACUGUGCUCACUGAUUGGUUGUCUUCUGUUUAUUUCAACUUACUAUAUCUUGAUAUUAUGUUUUUAGUAAAUUUUACUUGCUUGUUUUUACCUCAAAUCAUAUUCAAGAAAGCCUAUAGCUAUUUGGUUAUAGAAUAAGAAAUAUUAAUUUGUUUUUCACAUGAACUUAUCCAAAGGUACCAUAGUAAUCAAAUUGUACAAAUGUUUAUACUUCAUAAAAUUAUAUAUGUUAGAAAAUAGCUAUGUCCCACUUUAUAGUCUAUUUGUUUUAAGGGGUACAAUUUAGUGACAAUUUACCCAAAUCCUUUCAAUUUAGUAAUAAAGUGCUGUUGAUUUUUUUAAAAAUAUUAAACACAUCUCAAGAAAUAGUUCUACGAAAUGAGUUAUGAUUAUUAAUUUGAUAGAUCUGAAUGAACAAAAUGAGAUUUAACUUUGUGAAAAGGUCAGCAUGUAGAUUUUUCAGCUUCUAGAAGUGACCUUGAAAGUCACUGCUGGUAGAGUUGUAUCUGGCAUUGAGGUUGAUAUGAGUGAAUGAAUCCAAAACUUACCAAAGUCUGUUCCACAGGUAAGUAUGAAAUCAUAGUGGGAGAUCAUCUUUAAGGAAAAGCUUUGCUUCAGGAAGUUCUGAGUAUCUAAGCUCUCUCACUAUGACUAAGAAUCUUUGAUGAUAGAAUUUGACCACAACAGAGUCCCUUGUUCAUUUACUCUUAACCAUAUAAUAACAAUUAUCUGAUAAUAGACACGGAAAGAACAUGUGGUUGGCCAU